AACGAACGCUGGCGGCAGGCUUAAUACAUGCAAGUCGAACGCCCCUUUCGGGGGGAGUGGCAGACGGGUGAGUAACGCGUGGGAACGUGCCCAAAGGUAGGGAACAACUCCGGGAAACUGGAGCUAAUACCCUAUGUGCCCGAGAGGGGAAAGAUUUAUCGCCUUUGGAUCGGCCCGCGUUGGGUUAGCUAGUUGGUGGGGUAAAAGCCUACCAAGGCGACGAUCCAUAGCUGUUCUGAGAGGAAGAUCAGCCACACUGGGACUGAGACACGGCCCAGACUCCUACGGGAGACAGCAGUAGGGAAUCUUGGACAAUGGGCGCAAGCCUGAUCCAGCCAUGCCGCGUGAGUGAUGAAGGCCUUAGGGUUGUAAAACUCUUUCGCAGGUGACGAUAAUGACGGUAACCUGAGAAGAAGCCCCGGCUAACUUCGUGCCAGCAGCCGCCGUAA
rnacentral:rRNA from 1 species